UCGGACGCUUAACCGACUGCGCCACCCAGGCGCCCCUAUUCACACUUUCUUAAAUGUAGACUCUGCUAAGCCAAAGAAGUGGAUUACUUCUGAAGACAGAUAUCCUCUAGGGGAACAGCUUGCCUCUGGUUCUAAAUGCUAUAAAGUCUCCUUAGUUCAAGCUCCACAUAGUUUAAAUUCCGGAGGGACGAGUCUGAGGUUUGCUUUGCAAACCCUUUCUUCAUAGAUGGUGAAAAUUAAUGCUAUAAAUAAUAUUCUGGUAGUGUCUCGGGUGUGUGUGAUUUAUAACACAACUAUAUCCCAGGCAUCUAAGAAGUAUCAUUAAGAUAUUUAGUUAAAUUAAACACUAAUUUAUUAUUUAGACUGCUAGGUUCUAAGAGGAAAAUGGAAAAAUUGUGCAUUCUGGUAUGGGUUAUUGAAAUUGCAAAUCUGGCUCAUUUUGAAGAUCUCUCUCAACCACAGUUGAGUGAAUGAACCAAUGAACAAAGAAAUAUCAUUGCCUGAUUUGAGUUAUUGUAUGUAUCUCAAUAAAUUAAAUAAAAUUUCUUUUAUGCCCCAAAUAUUUCCAUCAUGGUGAUUUCUAAAGAAUUGCAUUUGGUUCAGGGCAGUUGUAUGGUAAUCUUUUGCUAUUCAAGCAACUUUGAUUGAGUGCAUGACUGUGAGCCAAGUAAAUUUAUUAGCUUGUUUCAUUGAACUGCAUUUGUACAAUGAGACAAAUUGUUUCAGCCAGGUUUCGAAGUGCUUCUCAUCCACUGAGAAGUGACUUGGGCAAUAAAGCCACAGUAAUCAGAUCUUCCUGAACACUUAAUAAUUGUACAUGGAAAACUGUAUACUGAUAAUAGCACUUACUAAAUAGUAUAGAGACGUUUUCAAUGCUAAUAAAACAUAUGGUAUUAAAUAGAUCAUUUGAAACGUGCAUGUACCCUUUCUAGAUAUAUCUGCUGGCUGGUUUUAAUGUGCAUGUGUGUGAUAGACCCUAGAUUUUCACCUAAGAUUUUUGUCAAGAUUUUUGUUGGUUUGAACUAUGCCCUUACUCCGAAAUCCAGAACACAUUUUCCAAGGUCUUAAUAAAUUCUACUCAAAGCAACAUUGCCAUCCACGGUUAGUCAGGCAUCUCAGCAAUGACCCUCUGGGAGGAGAUCUAAAACACUGACGGUAGAGUUUUAUUGUUGUCUUAGGAAAAGAAAAUAAUGGAUAUCCUUCAUUCAGUGUUCCUUUUCUGCGUAUGAAAUUCAAUAAGGUGAGUGAAUGACUACUUUAGUAGUUAAGGGACAAAGAAAACACUUCGUUUCUAAUGUUAGCUAGGUACUUCAUUGUGUGCCAGUGACUAUGUUGAGUGCUAUACCUGCUAUUUCAUAGUCAUUCUUGAUCCUCAUCACAAGGUUAGUUUUGUCUCUAUUUUUUAUGUAGCAGGAAACUGAAGUAUAGAAUAGUUAAAUGACUUGCCCAAGGUCAUGCAGUUGGUAAGUAGUAUAGCUGUAAGGCUCCAAAUCCUGGAGACAGAGCCUCAUACUUUACCAUUGCUGUUGUAAAGAAAUGAAUAUUUUGAAAUAAUUCUUCAUGUCCUUGUCUUUUGGUUAUGAAAUUUUUCUUUUCUGUAGUCCUUCCACCAUUAGGGUCAGAUCAUAAGGCUUUUUCUGCUAAGGAAAGGAAAAAAUAUCCAUCCGUCUGUAGAAAAGAAGCUCAUGGGUUGAGUCAUGUAUUAGAGAAUUGUCAAAUAAAUAUGUUGUACACCUGAAACUAAUAUAACAUUGUAUGUUAGUUAUACUUCAAUAAAAAAUUUUGAUUGAUGAGAAAAAAAGGAAAAACUCAUUGGAUACGUAAGAAGGAGGCUAUGACAUAGAAUUCCUUCCAGAAGGGAAAGUUAGGUAGAAAAUCCUUCUGGUGCUGUCAGAAGAAAGGAGCUGAGAAAGAGAGGAGAACCAGACAAGUUUCUUGGCUCUCCAUAUCCUCAGGGCUGAACAGGGGUGGGUGUGGUUAAGCAUCUAAACAGGUUUGGGGCUGUCAGAGGGUAUCCAGGCUGGGGAGACUAUAUGUUGUUGAGGGAAGCCUUGAGUUUGUUAUGGCACCUUGUUCAACACAACACCAUGGCCUGGGCUCAGUUUAGAAGUAAUGUCAGGGAGGAGUCCCUAGGCAGCUUAGUUGGGUAUGUGUCUGACUCUUGAUUUCAGCUCAGGUCAUGAUCUCAGGGUUGUUGAGAUUGAGCCCCAUGUCAGUCUUUGCAUCGACAGUGAACCUGCUUGGGACUCUCUCUUUUCCUCUCUCUCUGCCCCUCCCCUGCUCAUGCAUGCUCUCUCUCUUUCUCUCUCUCUCUCUCUCUCUCUCAACAAAUAAAUAAACUUAAAAAAAAAGUAAUGUCGGAGAGAGAUGCUUUUAUGGACCGGCCUGAAAUAGUGUCCGUAUUCCCCAUGGCCUGUAUCAUGGCCACUGAAGAGAUGGAGUUCCUCCCCAGUCCUCUUCCAACUCUACGUCAAUGGCUAUCAGCAGAAAUAGAGCCAGAGCAAGCUGGUGCAAGAUGAGACCAGUUCUGGAGAUCAGAAAUCUGAAUCAGUUUCAUUGGGCUAAAGUCAAGAUGCCAGCAGACCUGGUUCCUCCUGGAGGCUGUUUAACUUUUGGGGAUUCCGCUGGAUGAAAACCAUGAUCCACACAAUCAAGGAGAUUAACAAGAGGAAAGAUAUUUUGCCCAACAUCACUUUGGGUUAUCAGAUUUUUGACACCUGUUUCACCAUCUCCAAAUCUGUAGAAGAAGCGUUGGGAUUCCUUACAGGGCGGGAAGAAAACAAGCCCAAUUUUAGAAACAGUACCGGAGCAUUUCUGGCAGGAAUUGUUGGAGUAUGCGGAUCGUCCUUAUCAUCUGCUGUGUCAAGAAUUCUAGGGUUGUAUUACUUACCACAGGUGAGUUAUACCUCUACCUGCUUGAUUCUUAUGGCAAACACCAGUUUCCGUCUUACCUUCACACGGUAGGCAGUGAUAAGAUCCAGUCGGAAGCCAUGGUAUGACUUAUCCACCACUUUGAUUGGAUCUGGAUAGGCACAAUAGCAACGGAUGAUGAUUAUGGAAAAUAUGGAGUGAAAAUUUUAAGGAAAGAAUGGAGAAUGCCAACCUGUAUUGCAACAUUGAGUGCCAACAGUACAACCUGUAUUGCAUUCUCUGAAAUUAUUCCCAAAGCCUCUUCCAAUGAGAAAAUGCAGAACACUGUUGAUGCGGUUGAGUUCCACUGCCAGAGUUGUGCUUUAAGCAUCUGACACUGACCUCAGUCCUUUUGUGCUGGAAAUGGUUCACCAUAACAUAACUGACAGAACAUGGAUAGCCAGUGAAGCCUGGCUUACCUCUGCCCUCAUUGCAAAGCCUGAAUAUUUCCCAUAUUUUGGUGGAAGUAUUGGAUUUGCGAUUCCAAGAGCUGAUAUACCAUGACUCAAAGAAUUUCUUUAUGAUGUACAUCCUGGCAAGGAUCCAAAUGAUGUCCUGAUCGUUGAAUUCUGAUAAAUGGCUUUUAACUGUACUUAGCUGGAUAGCAGUGUUCCUUACAACAUUGACCAUAGAGUGAAUUUGACUGGUAAGGAGGACAGAUUACAUGCCAUGUCUGAUGAAUUCUGUAUUGGAGAGGAGAAGUUGGAAGAUCUUAAAAAUACCUAUCUGGAUGUGUCUCAGCUAAGAAUCACAAUGUCAAACAAGCUGUAUAUUUUCUGACUUAUGCCUUGGAUGGUCUAAGUAGAUGUGAAGAAGGACAUGGGCCAUAUAUGCCAGGAAACACCUGUGCAUACAUAUCUGACUUUGAGCCUUGGCAGUUAAUGUACUAUUUGAAGGGACUUAAGUUUACCACCCAUAACGGAGAGAGAAUAGAAAUUGAUGAAAAUGGAGAUGUGACUAUGACAUUCUAAACUGGCGAUUAGGUGAUAAUGGAGAGGUUGCUUUUGUGAAGGUUGGAGAAUAUAUAUUCACAAACUCUAAGUUUGAGCUCGUGAUGAAAAAGAACAAUGCAACCAUAUUUUGGAGCAAUGGAUCAUCAAAGCUUUUCCAUUUGGUGUGUACUGAUCUAUGUCGUCCUGGGACCCGGAAGGGGAUUCAUCAGGGGGAACCAAUAUGCUGUUUUGACCUCAUCGCAUGUGCUGAUGGACACGUGUCAUGGGAACCAGGUAGA